GUGUCAGGUAAGGUACAUGGGGGAGGUGUGACUGUGUGUUAGUGUGUAUGUGUCAGGUAAGGUACAUGGGGAGGUGUGACUGUGUGUUAGUGUGUAUGUGUCAGGUAAGGUACAUGGGGGAGGUGUGACUGUGUGUUAGUGUGUAUGUGUCAGGUAAGGUACAUGGGGGAGGUGUGACUCUGUGUUAGUGUGUAUGUGACAGGUAAGGUACAUGGGGGAGGUGUGACUGUGUGUUAGUGUGUAUGUGUCAGGUAAGGUACAUGGGGGAGGUGUGACUCUGUGUUAGUGUGUAUGUGACAGGUAAGGUACAUGGGGGAGGUGUGACUGUGUGUUAGUGUGUAUGUGUCAGGUAAGGUACAUGGGGGAGGUGUGACUCUGUGUUAGUGUGUAUGUGACAGGUAAGGUACAUGGGGGAGGUGUGACUGUGUGUUAGUGUGUAUGUGUCAGGUAAGGUACAUGGGGGAGGUGUGACUCUGUGUUAGUGUGUAUGUGUCAGGUAAGGUAC